CAGUCUACCAGUAUUACAGAUUUCCAGACACAUAUCAUCUUCCCGACGCUGACUGAAAACAUGGAAGUUGUAACAAUGUCUUCAUUAAUAAUAGCACGGAUUUGAGAUUUCCCAGCCUGAAUUCAUAGUAUUGCUUAAUCAUGGGCUGAAUCAAUCUGGACAAACUAAUUAUCAAGCUGUCCUAUGCUUAAACAUCACAGGAGAGAAUUUCAGAGGCCAGCUUCCACUGAUGCUACCAAUGGAACAAUCUUGACCUUCAUAGAAAGUUUUCUAGUAAGAUGUAUAACGGUCACAGUAGUCUCACAGAGGAAUAUGGUUGGUAUGAAACUUAUUAAUUAUGGGGUUUAUUACUGAAAUGAAUAUUCAUGUGAUAUUCCUGUCUUAGGGAAUUUACUGGAUACAGGUGUUUACUGGUUUUGUUUUUUUUUUUGUUGUUAAUUAUUUUAUCUAUUCCAAAUAAAUGAAUACAGCAAACCAAAAUUCAGAAUUCAAAUAUCCCUCAUAAAGAAGCAGUUCUGCAAGAUUGAAAAGUCCUAGAAUAUUACGUUAAAUCCUUAUGCCAUCCUACUGGCAUCAUUUUCAUCAUUUUCAUUGUGUUAAUCUCACGUAGUAAAAGCAUCAUUUUUGAUCUUUAGAAGACAUAAGUAAAGCUAAUGUUUAGCAUUUAAUGUCCCUAUGAAUAUCAGUAACUUAAAGAUCUGCUUAUGCAUAUUAACACUGCUAAUGACUGAAUAUUGAUGCAUUUGUCAUGAAAAAAAUCAGCCCUGAGAAAAUACCUUCUGCACUCCAAAUGUACUUUAAAAUUAUUUUUAAUUCUAUAAUUUCCCAGUGAGGACUGGUAUUCUACUCUAUAGUAACUGCAGGAAAAAAAAAAAAUCUGUUUAAUUUGCCAAAGGGGCAGAGCAAAGGUGUCUUUCAUAUUUUGACAAAAUCUUUCUAUCCUUUCAGAUAUACAGCCUUCCUCUGGAAUUAACUUUAAUUCAGUUGGGAGGGGGGGAUUCCAAUGUUUUUGUCAACUGCAAUAAACCUGUAUGACUUGUCACUGUCUAGACAUCAGUCCUUAUUGUCAAAGCUUUCUGUAAGUAUUAAUAUCUGCUUGGACAACUAUCAGCAUAAAAUUACAUUAUUAUUGCUCUUAUUUUUAUUAAUAAUAAUAAUUGUUAUUAUAUUUUAAAACAGGUAGAUAUUAUAAUUUAAGUGAUUUUACUGUAAUCUUUCUCUGACUAAUGGAAAUUGACACAGUUGGAAUUUGCCUAAGAAUAAAAAGCUGCCACUUGCUGGA